UCUGGUGUCAGCCGCCGCGGUAAAACCAGCACCUCAAGUGGUCAGGAUGAUUAUUGGGCCUAAAGCAUCCGUAGCCUGCUUUGUCAGUUUUCGGUUAAAUCCAUACGCUCAACGUAUGGGCUGCCGGGAAUACUGCAAAGCUAGGGAGUGGGAGAGGUAGACGGUACUCGGUAGGAAGGGGUAAAAUCCUUUGAUCUAUUGAUGACCACCUGUGGCGAAGGCGGUCUACCAGAACACGUCCGACGGUGAGGGAUGAAAGCUGGGGGAGCAAACCGGAUUAGAUACCCGGGUAGUCCCAGCUGUAAACUAUGCAAACUCAGUGAUGCAUUGGCUUGAUGCCAAUGCAGUGCUGCAGGGAAGCCGUUAAGUUUGCCGCCUGGGAAGUACGUACGCAAGUAUGAAACUUAAAGGAAUUGGCGGGGGAGCACCACAAGGGGUGAAGCCUGCGGUUCAAUUGGAGUCAACGCCAGAAAUCUUACCCGGAGAGACAGCAGAAUGAAGGUCAAGCUGAAGACUUUACCAGACAAGCU
rnacentral:rRNA from 2 species